UGAAGCUGAAGGCAGAUGGACUCAUUUAUCGCCUGAAGGAGGUCUGUCCCAACAGCAGUGCCAGCGCCGAAGCUGCUGCACCCACGCUCCCAGCCCACCCAUCCACAUUCACUCAGCCUCACAGACGAAUUGAUACCCUGAACUCAGACGGAUACACCCCUGAACCAGGUGAGCUGGAGAGGCGGGGCUAUGGGUGCGCUUAUGCCCAGAUGAAAGCAGGGUCCCUGGCUGGCCCCGUGGGACUUAAUGAGAGAUGACAAAGCCAGAGCCAUUGCCAGGGGUCUGCCCCGCACACAGCAAUGCUCAUAGUCAUUGCAUCCACCCACGUGCCUGUGUCUCCUGGUGCAUACCGACACAUGAGGGUGGGUAAAAAUCACAGCCCAUGGCCGUGAGUCUGGUGUGUCUGAGCUUCUUGUGCUCUCUACGUGCUCCACCCCCUCUCCUGUUCCCUCCCUUUCUAACCUGGGAGUGCACGACCGUAUGUAUACCCAGCACGCUUAGACAAGCCACGACCGAUGCCCAUGGACACGAGCGUGUACGAGAGCCCCUACAGCGACCCCGAGGAACUCAAGGACAAGAAGCUCUUCCUGAAGCGAGAGAACCUCCUCGUGGCCGACAUCGAACUUGGUUGCGGCAACUUUGGCUCAGUGCGCCAGGGAGUCUACCGCAUGCGCAAGAAGCAGAUCGACGUGGCCAUCAAGGUGCUAAAGCAGAGCACAGAGAAAGCUGACA
rnacentral:lncRNA from 1 species